rnacentral:ribozyme from 1 species
UUGUUUCCCAUUUUUUUUUUUUUUUUUGGAUUAUUUCCUUUGUUGGUCGUUGGAUAUUUGAUCGGACGAGAAUAUACGAAGAAAGG